rnacentral:rRNA from 1 species
UGGGGAAUAUUGGACAAUGGGCGCAAGCCUGAUCCAGCCAUACCGCGUGGGUGAAGAAGGCCUUCGGGUUGUAAAGCCCUUUUGUUGGGAAAGAAAAGCAGCUGGUUAAUACCCGGUUGUUCUGACGGUACCCAAAGAAUAAGCACCGGCUAACUUCGUGCCAGCAGCCGCGGUAAUACGAAGGGUGCAAGCGUUACUCGGAAUUACUGGGCGUAAAGCGUGCGUAGGUGGUUGUUUAAGUCUGUCGUGAAAGCCCUGGGCUCAACCUGGGAAUUGCGAUGGAAACUGGGCGACUAGAGUGUGGCAGAGGAUAGUGGAAUUCCUGGUGUAGCAGUGAAAUGCGUAGAGAUCAGGAGGAACAUCCGUGGCGAAGGCGACGGUCUGGGCCAACACUGACACUGAGGCACGAAAGCGUGGGGAGCAAACAGG